UCCUUAGCGACAGGAUUUGGCUAAGAUGCUGCUACCUCCCCUGCACUUCACGUCUGCCUCCGAGGCUCGCCAUGGCCGCAAUGAACCCUAACCGGCCCUCCUUCCUGGCCCCACGCCUACCAGAUUGAGGGGCCUGGCCCUGGGCAUCUGAUUGGCUAAACUCGAGUCACAAGCUCGCACCUGGUGGCCAGAGCACUACACAGCCAGGGAGGAGGGGGUCAUGAUCCUCUGGUUUCAGAGAAGAGGGGUGCCCAGCCUGUCCGCUGUCCGCACAAAAUGAGGAGCUGCCUACAAACAGGAUAUGGAGAACAGACAAAAGACAAAUAUCAACAAAUAUCUGCCAUGUUAUUUUAUAUUCUUUGUCCAACGCCUGCUUAUGUUGGUUACAAACGGCAGAAACCCAGUUCCAAGUGUAAGCGAGAGGAAACCACAGGCUAUAUAAUCAAGGUCAGGUGACGUGGCUUCCAGUAGGGCCAAACUGAGGGCCUCAAAUGAUCUCAUCUGCUUGGUUUCGUUCCUCAGGCAGACCCUCUCCCUCUGGGCCUCACACCAGCCAGCAGCUUCUCACCACCUGCCAACAGGAGGGAGCUCGCCCCGCUUCCCCGCCAGCCUCUGAUCCGCCGCACCUCCUCCAAGACUGAUAGAUCUUCUUGGCAAAGCUGCCCCCAAAGAUUCCUGCUAACACUUGUCUGUUCCUGCCUCUUGCGAAGCAUGGCACCCACAGGACUCUGGGAAGAAUCUUAAACCUGAGCCUCUGCAGCUGCUCCAGAGGGCGCUCUGUGUGGCUCAUUUACCGUCCCACUCGGCUCCAGGAGCUGCUCUUAUCCUAGCGAUGCCCUCGGGAGCCUUAGCCCCAGCUGGGUGAGACCAUUCCAGAGCGGGACACAACCUUGCCACCGCCGAGACUCCCACACCGCCCCCACCACCUCCCAUGCCUGGCUGCCCCGGCAGACUCUAGAAUGUCCGUGCCCCAGAUCCAAGUAGAAGAAGUGGUGGGUGAGGAAGAUGGGCUGGCAGGAGCAGC
rnacentral:lncRNA from 1 species